UACGAGGGGGGCGAGCGUUGUUCGGAAUUAUUGGGCGUAAAGGGUGCGUAGGCGGUUUGGUAAGUCUUGUGUGAAAUCUUCGGGCUUAACUCGAAGUCUGCACUGGAAACUGCCGGGCUUGAGUGUGGGAGAGGUGAGUGGAAUGCCGAGUGUAGAGGUGAAAUUCGUAGAUAUUCGGCGGAACACCAGUGGCGAAGGCGACUCACUGGCCCGGUACUGACGCUGAGGUGCGAAAGCGUGGGGAGCAAACAGG
rnacentral:rRNA from 1 species